UUUAAAGUGUAAUGUAAGUCGCUUUGGAUAAAAGCGUCUGAUAAAUGACCUGUA
rfam:Gasterosteus aculeatus cont1.002802, whole genome shotgun sequence.